AGCGAUCGAGAUGGGGGGAGUGUAAUAAAAAUAUUUAUUCUUGAGUUCACCAAACAAUAGAAUUGUGUUAUUUCAUAUUCAUAUAUACUAUUAAAAAAAAGGAAUCUCAAAAAAUCUACUUAUGAAAGGUUAUUAGACCUUUCAUUAACUAGCAAUAUAUUUGGUGUUACCAUAAUAUUUGACUAACAAUAUCUAAACUAAAAUUUCUCUAACAAUAAUUUAUUAC
rnacentral:lncRNA from 1 species